UGCAAGUCGAGCGAACUUUUGGGAGCUUGCUCCCAAAAGUUAGCGGCGGACGGGUGAGUAACACGUGGGCAACCUGCCUAUAAGACUGGGAUAACUUCGGGAAACCGGAGCUAAUACCGGAUAAUUCUUUUCCUCUCAUGAGGAAAAGCUGAAAGGCGGCUUUUAGCUGUCACUUAUAGAUGGGCCCGCGGCGCAUUAGCUAGUUGGUGAGGUAACGGCUCACCAAGGCGACGAUGCGUAGCCGACCUGAGAGGGUGAUCGGCCACACUGGGACUGAGACACGGCCCAGACUCCUACGGGAGGCAGCAGUAGGGAAUCUUCCGCAAUGGACGAAAGUCUGACGGAGCAACGCCGCGUGAGUGAUGAAGGUUUUCGGAUCGUAAAACUCUGUUGUUAGGGAAGAACAAGUACGAGAGUAACUGCUCGUACCUUGACGGUACCUAACCAGAAAGCCACGGCUAACUACGUGCCAGCAGCCGCGGUAAUACGUAGGUGGCAAGCGUUGUCCGGAAUUAUUGGGCGUAAAGCGCGCGCAGGCGGUUCCUUAAGUCUGAUGUGAAAGCCCACGGCUCAACCGUGGAGGGUCAUUGGAAACUGGGGAACUUGAGUGCAGAAGAGAAGAGUGGAAUUCCACGUGUAGCGGUGAAAUGCGUAAAGAUGUGGAGGAACACCAGUGGCGAAGGCGACUCUUUGGUCUGUAACUGACGCUGA
rnacentral:rRNA from 1 species